rnacentral:rRNA from 1 species
UAUGAGAGGUCCUGCCUGCCCUGUGACCCCUGGUUCAACGGCCGCGGUAUUUUGACCGUGCAAAGGUAGCGCAAUCACUUGUCUCUUAAAUGAGGACCUGUAUGAAUGGCACAACGAGGGCUUAACUGUCUCCUUUCCCCGGUCAAUGAAAUUGAUCUUCCCGUGCAGAAGCGGGAAUCCUAACAUAAGACGAGAAGACCCUAUGGAGCUUUAGACAUCAGAACAGACCAUGUAAGCUACCUCCAUGAAAUAGGUAAUAACUAUUGAAUCUCUGUUCCCCUGUCUUCGGUUGGGGCGACUACGGGGAAUAAAAAAACCCCCACGUGGACCAGGAGCACAUUACUCCUACAACCAUGAGCCACAGCUCUAAUGCACAAAACAUUUGACCAUUAGAUCCGGCAAAGCCGAUCAACGGACCAAGUUACCCUAGGGAUAACAGCGCAAUCCCCUUUAAGAGUUCAUAUCGACAAGGGGGUUUACGACCUCGAUGUUGGAUCAAGACAUCCUAAUGGUGCAGCCGCUAUUAAG